rnacentral:sRNA from 1 species
AAGGGGAAUGCAGAGGGCAGCAGCGAUGAGGAAGGGAAGCUGGUCAUUGAUGAGCCAGCCAAGGAGAAGAAUGAGAAAGGAGCGCUGAAGAGGAGGGCAGGGGACUUGCUGGAGGACUCUCCUAAACGUCCCAAGGAGGCAGAAAACCCUGAAGGAGAGGAGAAGGAGGCAGCCACCUUGGAGGGUGAGAGGCCCCUUCCUAUGGAGGUGGAAAAGAAUAGCACCCCCUCUGAGCCCGGCUCUGGCCGGGGGCCUCCCCAAGAGGAAGAAGAAGAGGAGGAUGAAGAGGAAGAGGCUACCAAGGAAGAUGCUGAGGCCCCAGGCAUCAGAGAUCAUGAGAGGUGAGUGAGCCCCCUGACCCCUUGGCAGCUGGACUAGUGGGGGCUGGCCACUCUCGGAGAGGAGGAUGAAAAGGGCCUGCAGUGGUCAGCCUCUCGGGAGGCGGGGUGAGCUCUCCUAGGAGACCGGCACUGGCUGGGGCAAGGCCAGGCCAAGGCCACACCAUUAACCCUUCUCCCCUCCAACCCUCCCUCACAGCCUGUAGCCACCAAUGUUUCAAGAGGAGCCCCCACCCUGUUCCUGCUGCUGUCUGGGUGCUACUGGGGAAACUGGCCAUGGCCUGCAAACUGGGAACCCCUUGCCCACCCCAACCUGCUCUCCUCUUCCACUCACUUUUCCCACUCCAA